AAGAUGGUGAGAUAUGCGCCGGCGCCUCUGGAGUUGUGUUUCGGAUGGGCGCACUCUUUAUAUAGAUACCAAUGCGAGGAUUAUCGACAAGUGUUAGACGGAUACGUCUGCGCAGUGUGUGGUGUUAUAUGUGUAAAUGUGGACAUGCGUAAAAAAUAAAUAAAGAUGUGGCCGGCGUAUGUUGAUAUACGCGCAAGUGCAUAGGCAUAUGCCGGUGGCAAGAUUACUUAUUGGUGGAAUUUUUUCGUGAAUUCCAUAAACGCAGGCGCCACGCGAGGGCUAUUGUGUAUGCCAAGGAAACGUUGGCAGAUUUUAUUUGUUUUAAAUUUGGAGUCGUGGAUCGACAGCCACGUUACGUGAAUUGUGUUAGUAGAAUAAGUAUUUAUGUACGGAUGGAAAAUAUAUGUGUAUAUAUGUGUAUAAUAAUAUGCUUAUUUAGUAUAUGUAUGAAUUAAUAUAUGAGUGAUAUAUGUUUGUGCCUUUUGAUGGUUGCAAAAAUAUAUGCACUUGUGUAUGCUGAUAUGUGAGUGUUUAAUUCCAAAUUUAUUGUUGCAUGUGAGGUUCAUAUGGUGUUGUAUAUGUAUGUGCAUAUGUACGUUUACUGUUAAGGAGACGGCGAUUACAAAUGCAAAUUAAUGCGGAUGGACGGAUUUAUUAAAUUUGUUUUUAAUAAUGUGUUGCAAUUGUGUUUUAUGUUGCGGUACCUGCCGUUGGCAAGCCGUUUUGGUUGCAGACAAGCUGCCUUAUAGGAGGCGCGAAGGAUGGAAAAUCACUUCCGCAGUGGCUGGUUUGAGCCCUUGGAUAGGGAACGGAAAGCUUGAUGCUAAUUCCGUUUUGGGGGUCGGCGGACAGACCGACAGAACAAAUGGCGGAAUCCAACGGUGCCAAGAACAAGCUGGGGCGAACGGAUGAGAUCUUGUGUUUAAAAAUGGCGGCGUAAGAAAAACCUUGCACUUUUCGUUUUUCCUCUGUUCACUUUUCAGAUUAUGCCGUCUCACCAGUAAAGCGCUUACAAACUAAUUCGACUAUUGUGGAGAGAGGCAGCGAAGCGGGCAUCGCUCUGUUAACUAACAUAGGCGCUAACAGCUGUUAGUAUUGACUGCUGCUGCUGCUGCGCCAGCUUCGGCUGUAGUUAACAGCGCGCUGCCGCAUAAACAGGUAUUAAAGAUAAAAGACGGAAAUGUCAUUAAAUGUAAAAAUGCAGUCUUUUCAACUAACAACCAAUGCAAAAAAAUUAAUAAAAUCAGUAUGUGCUUAAGAUCAAAUAUUGUAGAUUUUUCAAAUGACAACUGCAUUUCAAAGUUAAUAACAAAUAGACCAAACAAUCGUACCAUCAUUAACGAUAAUCACAUAAAAGCAAUAGAACUAAUAGAUACAGGUAUUCUUCUUCUGAACAACUUUAGUGGUAAGAUUUCAAGUAAUAAUGAAUCCCAAACACUUAAGGGAUCGUUCAUAAUUAAAUUUAAUAAUUGUACAUUAGAUAUAAUUAUAUAUAAAUCAGUUUUUUUCAUCAUACGAAACCUCUAGCUAUAAGCCACUACCAGCUAUGAUUCAACUGGAGAGGCCGCUGACAACGAUGGAGGAGGUUCUAUCCCUACAACUGAUGAAGGACCUGAACAUCAAAAAUACAGAAAGGAUAAGUGCUCUGCAACCUAACCUCAAGGCAAACACAUUCUCAAGUAUUGGGAUAUCAGCUGGAGUUGUGUUUAUGUUCAUCACCUACGUAGUAAAGCUAAAGAUGUGCGGACCGAGCACAAAAGUAGUGGAGAAACAAAGCAAUCCCUCAAGCGAAGUGCUGCGCCCAAAGAGGACCAACACGGCAGAAACUCCCUCGGAAAGCCAUACUAAAAAACCUAGAAGCAUCCAUGAUCUCCCCGGAUUUUAAUUCAUCGACCGCGACGUUCGAGAUAAGGGAGGGAGGAGUUAACAGUUUAGUUACUCAAAACGCCAACAUUGAGUACCAAAUUGUCGCACUGACCGCCGCACGUGGCAAAUCAACGUGCUGGGAAAUGCUGACAUAAAGUGUUGAGUAUCUAAUUCGGUGCAUACGGGGUCAACGCGCUGGCAAGCCAGCUACCGUGGGAUCGCAACCUCAGCAGUCUGCGGAACCGAUGGCGACUAUUGGUUCCCAAG